rnacentral:rRNA from 1 species
AGAAAGUGGGGGAUCUUCGGACCUCACGCUAUCAGAUGAGCCUAGGUCGGAUUAGCUAGUUGGUGGGGUAAAGGCCUACCAAGGCGACGAUCCGUAACUGGUCUGAGAGGAUGAUCAGUCACACUGGAACUGAGACACGGUCCAGACUCCUACGGGAGGCAGCAGUGGGGAAUAUUGGACAAUGGGCGAAAGCCUGAUCCAGCCAUGCCGCGUGUGUGAAGAAGGUCUUCGGAUUGUAAAGCACUUUAAGUUGGGAGGAAGGGCAGUAAGUUAAUACCUUGCUGUUUUGACGUUACCAACAGAAUAAGCACCGGCUAACUUCGUGCCAGCAGCCGCGGUAAUACGAAGGGUGCAAGCGUUAAUCGGAAUUACUGGGCGUAAAGCGCGCGUAGGUGGUUCAGCAAGUUGGAUGUGAAAUCCCCGGGCUCAA